GACGAACGCUGGCGGCGUGCUUACCUUUUGCAAGUCGAACGAGAUCCAUGGUGUAGCAAUACAUCGGAAGAUCUAGUGGCGAACGGGUGAGGAUCACGUGAGAAACCUGCCCCAAACUUUGGGAUAACAAGUGGAAACGCUUGCUAAUACCGAACGACGUCGGAAAACCGCAUGGUUCACUGACAAAAGGAAUUCCGGUUUGGGAGGGUCUCGCGGCCUAUCAGCUUGUUGGUGGGGUAAUGGCCUACCAAGGCAACGACGGGUAGCUGGUCUGAGAGGAUGAUCAGCCACACUGGGACUGAGACACGGCCCAAACUCCUACGGGAGGCAGCAGUGGGGAAUCUUGCGCAAUGGGCGAAAGCCUGACGCAGCAACGCCGCGUGCGGGAUGAAGGCCUUCGGGCUGUAAACCGCUUUCAGCAGGAACAAAAAUGACGGUACCUGCAAAAGAAGGAGCGGCCAACUACGUG
rnacentral:rRNA from 1 species